rnacentral:ncRNA from 2 species
ACGGACCAAGGAGUCUGACAUGUGUG